CAGGCCUAACACAUGCAAGUCGAACGAAGGCUUCGGCCUUAGUGGCGCACGGGUGCGUAACGCGUGGGAAUCUGCCCCUUGGUUCGGAAUAACAGUUGGAAACGACUGCUAAUACCGGAUGACGACGUAAGUCCAAAGAUUUAUCGCCGAGGGAUGAGCCCGCGUAGGAUUAGCUAGUUGGUGUGGUAAAGGCGCACCAAGGCGACGAUCCUUAGCUGGUCUGAGAGGAUGAUCAGCCACACUGGAACUGAGACACGGCCCAGACUCCUACGGGAGGCAGCAGUGGGGAAUAUUGGGCAAUGGGCGCAAGCCUGACCCAGCCAUGCCGCGUGCCGGAAGAAGGCCCUCUGGGUUGUAAACGGCUUUUGACGGGGAAGAAACGACUCUUGCGAGAGGCAUUGACGGUAUCCGCAGAAUAAGCACCGUCUAACUCCGUGCCAGCAGCCGCGGUAAU
rnacentral:rRNA from 1 species